rnacentral:rRNA from 1 species
CCUACGUGAGGCAGCAGUGGGGAAUAUUGCGCAAUGGGCGAAAGCCUGACGCAGCGACGCCGCGUGAGGGAUGAAGGUCUUCGGAUCGUAAACCUCUGUCAGCAGGGAAGAACGGUCACUGUGCUAAUCAGCAGUGAAUUGACGGUACCUGCAAAGGAAGCACCGGCUAACUCCGUGCCAGCAGCCGCGGUAAUACGGAGGGUGCGAGCGUUAAUCGGAAUUACUGGGCGUAAAGCGCUCGUAGGCGGUAUGUCAAGUCAAGGGUGAAAUCCCCGCGCUCAACGUGGGAACUGCAUUUGAAACUGGCAAACUGGAGUGUGUGAGAGGAUAGUGGAAUUCCAGGUGUAGGAGUGAAAUCCGUAGAUAUCUGGAGGAACAUCAGUGGCGAAGGCGACUAUCUGGCACAUAACUGACGCUGAGGAGCGAAAGCGUGGGUAGCAAACAGGAUUAGAUAUCCCUGUAGUC